rnacentral:lncRNA from 1 species
AGUACAAGUUCAGGGAUCUGACUGUAGAGGAGCUGAAGACCGUGAACAUGUCUUUCCCGCACUUCAGAUACUCCAUGGACACCUACGUUUUCAAAGACACUUCCCAGAAAGACCUGCUGAAUUUCACCGGUACGAUUCCUGUGAUGUAUCAGGGUAAGACGUACAACAUACCCAUUCGCUUCUGGAUUUUGGAUUCCCACCCUUUUGCUCCGCCCAUUUGCUUCUUGAAGCCAACUGCAAACAUGGAAAUCUCCGUUGGAAAACAUGUGGAUGCCAAAGGCAGAAUAUACUUGCCCUAUCUCCAAAAUUGGAGCCAUCCCAAAUCUGUCAUUGUUGGAUUAAUUAAGGAAAUG